rnacentral:lncRNA from 1 species
CCACCUGUAUAAAGCGGAAGGGUUCUUUUGAUCUCAAGGUGGCGCUUGCCCAAACAAGAUCGCAGGUCCACUGCAUAAAUGAUCCCUGCGCGAUCGGAAAGCUUUGUCAACAGGGAGCCCUGGAUGAUGUUCUUCCACUCUAUUACACGAAUGGAGAAAUCUGGGAGCUUGAGGACCUCGUCGAAAUGUGCAGACCUCGGUCUCUUG